ensembl:snRNA U6 U6 spliceosomal RNA
GUACUUCAGCAGCACAUAAACUAAAAUUGGAACGAUACAGAAAAGAUUAACAUUCUCCUGCAUGAGGAUGACCUGAAAAUUUGUGAAGCAUUCCAUAUUAAA